UGGGGAAUAUUGGACAAUGGGCGAAAGCCUGAUCCAGCAAUACCGCGUGUGUGAAGAAGGCCUUCGGGUUGUAAAGCACUUUAAGUUGGGAAGAAAAAGCUUCACCUAAUACGUGGAGCCUUGACGGUACCGACAGAAUAAGCACCGGCUAACUCUGUGCCAGCAGCCGCGGUAAUACAGAGGGUGCUAGCGUUAAUCGGAUUUACUGGGCGUAAAGCGUGCGUAGGCGGUUUAAUAAGUCGAUUGUGAAAGCCCCGGGCUCAACCUGGGAAUUGCGGUCGAUACUGUCAGACUCGAAAACGGUAGAGGGAGGCGGAACUCCAGGUGUAGCGGUGAAAUGCGUAGAUAUCUGGAAGAACACCGAUGGCGAAGGCAACCUCCUGGGCCUGUUUUGACGCUGAGGCACGAAAGCGUGGGUAGCAAACAGG
rnacentral:rRNA from 1 species